rnacentral:rRNA from 1 species
AUUGAACGCUGGCGGCAGGCCUAACACAUGCAAGUCGAACGGUAACAGGAAGAAGCUUGCUUCUUUGCUGACGAGUGGCGGCCGGGUGAGUAAUGUCUGGGAAACUGCCUGAUGGAGUGGGAUAACUACUGGAAACGGUAGCUAAUACCGCAUAACGUCGCAAGCCCAAAGAGGGGGACCUUCGGGCCUCUUGCCAUCGGAUGUGCCCAGAUGGGAUUAGCUAGUAGGUGGGGUAACGGCUCACCUAGGCGACGAUCCCUAGCUGGUCUGAGAGGAUGACCAGCCACACUGGAACUGAGACACGGUCCAGACUCCUACGGGAGGCAGCAGUGGGGAAUAUUGCACAAUGGGCGCAAGCCUGAUGCAGCCAUGCCGCGUGUAUGAAGAAGGCCUUCGGGUUGUAAAGUACUUUCAGCGGGGAGGAAGGGAGUAAAGUUAAUACCUUUGCUCAUUGACGUUACCCGCAGAAGAAGCACCGGCUAACUCCGUG